UGGGUUAAAGGCUCCAGCAUUGCCACAGCUGCGGCUUAGGUAGCAACUGUGGCUUGGAUCUGAUCCCUGGCCCAGGAACUCCAUAUGCUGCUUUGCAGCCAAAAAAGGGAGAAAAAAAAAGAAUACUAAAGAUUGAAAAAAAAAAAAGCAUACAUGGCUCACAUCAUAUCUAUAGGUUGGCCCUGGACCAGGGAGAAGAAGUGCUCAGAUCAUUGAUAUAUUUUAUUAACGAUACAUUAUUCAUUUUGACCUUAUUGGCUUUACCGGUUGCCUCAGCCAGCAUCAUCUGCCCUCCCCGCAGACCCAUUUUGCCGACAAAGAAACUGAGGCUCAGGACCACAGCCUCAGGAGAUUGGAGUGGGUAGGUCUUUAUCUUCUUGGCACCACCAGCCAGCUGGGGACAAGGUUCUCUGACCUUGUUUUGCCAGCUCUCUUCCCCAACCCCGGCCCUCUUAUCUCACCAGCUGCGUCAUUAGUUCCCUGGGGAGGCAGAGGCCACCUGCGGCCUCCUCUUUCAGGCUCCUCGCUGAGACCCCGCCCACUACCCUCUUCAUAUUUGUUGGAUGGAUCCUGUGACCUGGGUGCUGCUUGCUUAGCUUGGCUGAAACAGGUUUCUGGACCCCCCUCUCCUCCCCGCUUAUCACUCCGGGGCAAGGCUGAGGGUGCUAUAAUAUUUGCUCAGGGAUCUGACGCCAGGUGUGGCUUCCUGUUCCAGCCAGGCAAGGUCUGGGCUUGGUCCUGGGGAGGCUGGACUCGGAGAAAGGGCCCUAUGUCCCCUUAGUUUCUCACCCUCAAAAGAAGCCCCAGGCUCCCACGUAGGAGGGGACGGCAGAUUGGAGGGGUGAGCCUCGGACUUCGCACAGGCUGUUCCCUUUGCCUGGAUAGUCCGACCUUUCCCUCACCCCAUCCUCCUCAUGCCUCAUUCACCUGGGUUUUUCCAAGUCAUUCAGUCAUUUAACAAAUAUUUACUGAAUGCUGACUAUCUGCCGGGCUGUGUUGGGGAUACAGGCAACAUCCCUUUCCUUGCGGAACUAAAUCCUAUUGGAGGGAGAUGAGCAAUAAUCAAAAAACUGAUAGCAUAUUGUGUUGGGUGGUGAUAAGCGCUAUAAAAAUAUGAAAUAGGGCAAGAGGACAGGGAGUGGCAGGGGUUGCUCUUUUGGUAGGGAGGUCAGGGAGGGCCUUUCCUAGGUGACAUUUGAGCUGAGAUCUGAAGGAGUCAACAGAGGGCGACUGUGACUAACUAUGUGGGGAAAGAGUGUUUUGGGGUUGAAGUCUCAGCAAGUGCAAAGGCCCUGAGGCAGGAUGGUCUCAGAUGAGUGUGAGGAUGGCGGCAAGGAGGUUGGUGUGGCUAGAGCUGAGGGAGGGGGACAGUGGGACAAGCCGGUUAUAGAAGGAGCAGGGGAGGGGUUCCCUGGUGGCUCAGCAGCUUAAGGAUCUGGCAUUGUCACUGCUGUGGCAUGGGUUCGAUCCCUGGCCCGGGAACUUCUGUGUGCCUUGGGUAUGGCCACAACAAAAUUUUUUUUUUGGUCUUUUUUUAGGGCCACACCCACGGCAUAUGGAGGUUCCCAGGCUAGGGAUCGAUUUGGAACUGUGGCUGCCGGCCUACACCACAGCCACAGCAAUGUCAGAUCCAAGCUGAGUCUGGGACCUACACUGCAGCUCAUAGCCAUGCUGGAUCCUUAACCCACUGAGUGAGGCCAGGGAUCGAACCUUCAUCCUCAUGGAUGCUAGUCAGAUUCGUUUCCACAGAGCCACGAAGGGAACACCUGUGUGGAAAUUUUUAAAAAAUGGUUCAAUAUCUUGAAAUGUUUGCCUCUCCAGUGGAACCGUUUCCUCACACGAAUCUUCCAUGGAGCCCCAGGCCUCCAGC
rnacentral:lncRNA from 1 species